CCUACGGGAGGCAGCAGUGGGGAAUAUUGCACAAUGGGGGAAACCCUGAUGCAGCGACGCCGCGUGAGUGAAGAAGUAUUUCGGUACGUAAAGCUCUAUCAGCAGGGAAGAAAAUGACGGUACCUGACUAAGAAGCCCCGGCUAACUACGUGCCACCAGCCGCGGUAAUACGUAGGGGGCCAGCGUUAUCCGGAUUUACUGGGUGUAAAGGGAGCGUAGACGGCAGCGCAAGUCUGGAGUGAAAUCCCAUGGCUUAACCAUGGAACUGCUUUGGAAACUGUGCAGCUAGAGUGCAGGAGAGGUAAGCGGAAUGCCUAGUGUAGCGGUGAAAUGCGUAGAUAUUAGGAGGAACACCAGUGGCGAAGGCGGCUUACUGGACUGUAACUGACGUUGAGGCUCGAAAGCGUGGGGAGCAAACAGGAUUAGAUACCCUGGUAGUC
rnacentral:rRNA from 1 species